rnacentral:rRNA from 1 species
GAUGAACGCUGGCGGCGUGCCUAAUACAUGCAAGUCGAGCGAACGGACGAGAAGCUUGCUUCUCUGAUGUUAGCGGCGGACGGGUGAGUAACACGUGGAUAACCUACCUAUAAGACUGGGAUAACUUCGGGAAACCGUAGCUAAUACCGGAUAAUAUUUUGAACCGCAUGGUUCAAAAGUGAAAGACGGUCUUGCUGUCACUUAUAGAUGGAUCCGCGCUGCAUUAGCUAGUUGGGAAGGUAACGGCUUACCAAGGCAACGAUGCAUAGCCGACCUGAGAGGGUGAUCGGCCACACUGGAACUGAGACACGGUCCAGACUCCUACGGGAGGCAGCAGUAGGGAAUCUUCCGCAAUGGGCGAAAGCCUGACAGAGCAACGCCGCGUGAGUGAUGAAGGUCUUCGGAUCGUAAAACUCUGUUAUUAGGGAAGAACAUAUGUGUAAGUAACUGUGCACAUCUUGACGGUACCUAAUCAGAAAGCCACGGCUAACUACGUG